rnacentral:lncRNA from 1 species
GGUAAACACGAAUGGCGUCGCAUUUCGGAUGCUGCGCACCCGGGACAGGCUCUGCUCCUGGCCCUCUUUGGCUGGUUCAUCCCCACCACCUGAACCUGAAAAUGGCCAAUAGCCUUUACCUUUAGACCCGCUGCCGCCCAUCAUGGACCGCAAAACAUUCUCCUCCUGGUCGGGUCACACUGGGACGGGUGCUCAGUUCUGAAAGAAGACCAAAACAGACUGAAGACAUCUCUCCACUGGAUCUACGGCUACGAGCGCAGCAUUUCCUCCAGUGUGAAGUCACACUCAACAGUCAUGCUUCAAACACACGCAUCUCUUCUCUCGCUCACUGCAUUUCACUUUCAACCCUCAUUAUGUCCACAGUAGGACGAAGGGCUCUUUCACACACUCUUUGGACUCAGACAGUAAUAAGCCUUGUUUCCUCCUCGAUCUCUCUUGUUUGUGAGGUAUAAACACAGAUUCAUUCAGCCAGGCUUGCUGAAGUUCUUCAUAGCCUCUU